ACCCAGAAGACAGAAAUCUUCGUACUCACCGCUGUGAAAACGUCAAAUCUUACACAGUAAAAAUAUUUUGAAAUUAUCUUAAAAUGUUUAUGGACGGAUGAUUCUUUUUGUUUAACAUAUUAGGUAAAUGUAAACAGUCAGUAUGAGAUGAAGCCUAGUAUAAUCAAGCUGGUCUUGGUGUUGAUCUUUGAUUAGAAAUAAUUUGCUUGUAAAUGCAAAGGCCAGGUGUGAAUAAAACUAUACACUGAGUAAAUUCAUCUUCCCCAUUCCCGCUUCAAAAUCAUAUAAAUACAAACAGUAUGUGAAGAUUUUUUGAAGUUAUAUUUGUUUGCCUGUUACGUUUUAAAUUCUUGAUUAUGUCUUAAAUGUUAUAUUGUGGAAUACGCAAUUCAUAUGAAAUAGUUAUAUGAUCAGUCUUGCAGAAACAUUUCAGUUCUAACAUUUUGUGUAUAUGAUGAGCAUGUUCCAGAGCAUUUUCAUGCAUUUGGCAGCUUUAGAUUUGAGUGGUUCGGUAUUUCAUGUUACAGAUGUUAGCAUGGUGUUCAGCAGUGGAAAGAAUUAAUAUAAUUUUUUUUUCUGUUUAAAUUGAUAAUUGUGACAAGCAAGUAAAUGGAAAGGCUUUAUAUAAGACAUUUCCUUGGGCAAUUUCAUAGCUUGAGGAAUCCUAUAUUGUAAUACUUAAAAGGGAAAAUGAAAGAAUGAAAAGUACAGUAUAAUAAAAUAUUUGACUAGGAAACAUUACUAAGGAAUACAGCUAUGUGAUAACGUAUUUGUGAGUAGGGGACGCAAGUGAGUUUUCACUGAGUGUCUUCUGAAUAUAAACUUUGUAAAUAUUUUAGUUAGAUCAUACUAUGCAUAAAGUACUAUUGUUUAUGAAACAUAUGCACUAUUGUAACACCAAUACAUGUAUUUGUGCCACUUACAUACUCACCAACUUAUAUUUCUUCCUCACUUUGUGAGAUUUGUUCUUACUUCUUUUACCUUCCAGAAACUUUACAUGUGUAAAUAAUAUGCCGUCUGGUGGUAUGAGUUCUAACCAACAAACUGCCAUUAAGAGAGGUAAAUAAUAAACUCUAACAGUGAAGAUGAAAUUUAUAGUUCACCUUAGUAGUUACAUUUGACUAAGUUCCCAGAACAUGCAUGAGGCUUGUUCAAGUGAAACCUGUUUGGUGAUUUCUUCUGGUUGAAGUAGAAGCUAUUAAAUGAAUCCCAUUGAUGUACCAGCUGAUGCAAAGAACUUCCUAGGCUGCUUCUGGAACCACUAUACCACUGCAGCCUUGGCAUCUUUGUCCACCCAAAAUGUAUGACCCCUUUGCACGUUUUGAGUGGAUGAACGCGUGGAAGUCGCACAGUGACGGAACUGGACCAUGUGGAGAUGAGCAUUGCCGUACAAUAUAUUGCCGCCUCUUAUUAACGUACCAGGAUGCUAUCUCAUGAUGGUAGUAUGAAGAUCUCAGAAGGUUUCUAAACAUCACUCUACAGGGAUUGUGGUGACAGCGUCGUUUGAACAGGAUUAGCUAUUUAUCAUUAUCGAAGAAAACUGUUCUGUUUGGAUGGGUUCUGCACCUGGAGUGCAGAAAUUUAAUCAUGUCGUACUGUUCCCAUUUGCUCUAACAUUAUCAUUCUGUUGCAUGAUUCUUGGUUGACUGCUAGUGUGUCAUGUAUACAAUUGUGUGAUCACCUGCAACUGGCUGUAUUUGCUAGCAGUACCACAAAUGGGUUUCAUUUUAACAACCCUCAUGCUAUUAUAUGUUGGAAAUUUUUGGUGCUGUAGUCAUAUUUUCGUUUACCAGUGCAGACUCGUGAGCAGACUUAAUUGAUGUGAUGGUGGAUUCCCUUUCAUAUGUUUCAGUUCCGUAGAUAUUAUUUGAUUCCUGAUACAAACUUUCUGUGUAUUAUUGCAUUGUAUGUGUUUUGUAAUGGAUUCAUUACUCGUCUUUAUUUUUGUUAUAGAUUUGUUAAAAUCUUAAUUCAUUAUGUCUCUUCUUUGGGGCAUAAUCAUUUAUGUAUUUUGCAUUUAAGUUUCCAACUAUAGAAAUGCUAAAACUUUUAAUUAUUGUUUUCCUUGAGUUAUGUCAGUCUUAUUACACUGGUUUUUAAACCUUUAUUUGAUCCCUUCAUAUUCAACAUUCCCAAAACUAUAUUUUUUUUUCAGUUUUGUGGUACAGCCCCUUUUAUCCUCCCACACACGUAUUAAGGCAUCCUAAUUAAAAAUAUUGUAGUUAUGCUUGGCAUUGUCCAUUUUCCAUUAUAUGUAAUAUAUACAGCAUUUUUGGAGUUGCCUCUGCUUGAGUCUUCAUAUGAUUGUUGGUUAUUAUACUACCAGAUAUUUUACUUACUUGGAUACUUGUAUGAUCCGUUCUUUAAGUGCCUGAGCACUGCGGGUCCCAACUUUUCGUUGGUUUUGAUCUAUGGACAUUUUGGUAGGACUCCUUGGACGAGGGAUCGGCCCGUCACAAGGCCUCUACCUGUACACAGGACGGCACAACACAGAAAUGUGGACAAACAUCCAUGGCUUGAGUGGGAUUCGAACCCACAGUCCCAGCGACCAAGUGGCACAAGGCCCAUGCCUCAGACCGCUGUGACCUCCACCAGAUAUUUUACCUUUUAUAUUUUUCCUUCUGCUAUAAAAAUAGUCAUCUUUACAGACCUUUUGAGAACCAAUUUAAAAUGUUAGGCGAAACUGCAUCUGGUGGUGCCAGUGGAAAUUCCAUAAUCUCAUAUGUAAGGAUUUCUGUCCCAUAUGUCUCUGCCAUGGUCCUUCCAUUCUGACAUGUCCUGUUGUGGUGACAAUCAAACUUUGUAGUAUGAAAACAUUAAUUGUUUGUAAUACUGAGGAGAGGCCACUAUAUUUCUUCAGGACCAGAUACUAAGCAGGCCUCUGAUAUGUAAUAAGUUAUUGGUUAGAUUAUUUAAAAAGCAGGUAGUAUCUUUUUUAAAAAAAUGUUAGCACUAUCAGUUUACAGUGCAUUGUUAAAGUAUUAUGUGAGGAAGAGAAUUUUGUACCCAUGAGUCAUAUAAAAUUAAAAACAAAAGAAUGAAAUAUUUUUUUAUCGUGACAGGUCUUUAUAUUUUCACUGACCAUGUUUUAUUACAUUCUGGGGACAUUUUACCAUGUAAUUAAAAUUCCAGGACCCAUUCAAUGGGCAGCCAUUUGAAUCCCUGACCAGAUAUGGGUUCAUUUUUUUUGCACAGAGCCCUUUAGAAAUAUCACAGUUUUAUUAGUUGCCUGACAAACUCCGCUUGCUCGUAGUCUGUCAGUAUGAUUCAUACAAAUAAUUGUAUGAGAUAUUUAGAUACUCAGCUUUAAAUGUUGAAUAUUAAGAGCAAUUCUCUAAUUUGUUUUCUGCAUCUUGUGUGUGAUGAUAAAUUUGUUCAUUAAAUGUUUUACAUUUAAUCCAAGACUGAAAAUAUACUCUCCACCAGUAAUUCACUUAUGGUCAGUGUGAAGGUGUAUUUCUGGAAUCCUGUUUACACUUGAGAAACUUUCGUCCUUGUCUUCAGGAAUGUAGAUUAUGCCUGAUCCUGGUUCUUAGCUCCCAAUAUGACAUUAUGAUGUACGUAUCUUGUCACAACUGUCAUUGCACCGUCUCUUACGUAUCACAGAAAAACAAAAUCUGCCUCAUGGUUGCAGAAGUGGAUUCCUUGGUCUUAUUUGGCAGACACUAGCCUGGAAGAUCAGACAUACCAUUACUUCACACAUUUGUCACUAUCAUUUUAUUAUGGGGAAAAAUGUCGAUACAGUUUUAAAUCACCUCAAAAGUGAUAUUGGCAGCACUGAAAGUGACUCAUGUAAACAAUAUGAACCUUAUUAGUGUUAGUCUUUUGGGUUUAAUACUUGUAGGCAGAUACCAUCAUUUCAGUGAAAGACAAUGUAGAAGUCCACACGGAAUUAGAACCCAGAUGACCAACAUUGACAUCUGUAUCGCCAUGAGAACAUCAAAUCUUGUGUGAACUUUCACACUUUGCACUUAGAUGGUUUGCGUCAUCUUAUGAGUAGUGAUGGUCAUGAAAUGUUUAAAAUGGCUGCUCCAUUAAUGGAAUUUACAACAACAAAGAUUGAUAGAGUUUAAUCCCAGUAUGGACUGGUACUUUUGAACACCAUGUCCAGACUGACUCUGGGGAUAAACCAAACUCUCAUCCAUAGGUUAAUGAAGUCUAUUCAGAAUGUGUAUCAAACACUGGUGAAGGAUCAUGUGAUUGUGGACUGAGUAUUUCGCUUGCCUGUGUUUAUAUCCACUCCACACACAUCUCGAAUAGUGUAUAUGGGGGGCUCGGGAUAAAUCUGAUUACUUAUCGUAAUCCUACUAAGAACUAGAAACCCUGGGACUUCACCUUACAAUUCUAAAUGUUCAAUGAUAUUUAAUUUUUGUUUCAAUUUUCAGUAUUUUCUGACUUGCUUCUGUGUGGUACAAAAUUGUCUUACCUUGCUCUGAGAACAUGCUCUAAAAGUCUAAGUGUAAGAUGUGGAAACUACGGCUGUGGAAGUUGUGAGAGAUGUUAACAUUUUGACUGUUACAUAUGGACUUCUAAAGGUCACAAGUUUUUAAUCAUAUUAAGUUAGGAAGCUUAAAGAGUGAUGUCAUAAUGUAUUGCAUUGUAAUUGAAAUAAAAGAGUAGGAAAGAUUAGAGAAGUAUCAGAAUAAGUAGGAAGAUCAUAAUUAAGGCAUAAACACAUUUUCAUUAUGUACAAGUUUGAUAAUGGGUAUUAAGCCCCAGAAGACCAAAGCAGAGAAUUGCAUUCUCUUUAACAUAGAUAUACAAUAUGUAUGAGAUCUCGUAGACAUUUGUUUCCAUUGUUCUGUAUUGUGGAUCAAAAUCAGGGUCCCUUAGCUCUGAACUAACUAGUGGGCCAUGACUUUUAAAAUAUAUUAAUCUUUUAUUUUAAACAAAUCUCAUAUAAGAAUUUUUGCUUAAAAUAAUUUUGUAUAUUAUUAAUUUAUCAUUAUGUAUUUUACAGCAAUGUUUAUCUGCAAGUCAUGGCUCAGUUUUCACACUUUCCUUUGAAUUAUCAUAUUUCAUCACAUAAUUCACACACUUUAAUUUCUCAGCAUGAUUAUAUCAGUCCAAAAGGGGUAGCGGUUUUUAUAAAAUGCAAAAGUGACUGUGCAGGAACACUUAUGUGGCCCAUUUGGCAAGUGUCAUAGUGUAUCUUUGUUGCUUGUUGCAUGAUGUACAGUCACCCUGCAGUCUUAUGGAGUUGUAGAUAAAAUUUAAAUAUGAUUGAUGGGUAUGGCAUAAAGAAGAGUUUAACUGAAAUGAAUAUUUUCAUUUGUUACUAAUUAACCUCAUACACUGCCUACCAUUUUUUGUAGAAAAUGCUUAACUGUUGCAGAUAUAUCUUGCAGACAGUGAUGCUAUCAUGAUUGACCAUUUUUAAUGAAUUCUUGUAUAAAUCAUGAAACUUGUUAGGUUAAUUAAGGUGUGUAUGGAUGGGGCGUCCAGUAGAGUUCGUAUAGGUAACCUCAUGGAUCCAUUCCCAUUGCACAGUGGUCUAAAACGGGGAAUGCUUUAUUCCCAAUGCUUCUUGCACAUCACUUGAAAAUGUUUCAAAAUUUAAGUAUAAGGGAACAACAAUAACAAAUAGAAUUGAGGUCCACGAUGAAAUGAAGAGUAGAAUACGCCAGGAAACGUUUGUUUUAUUCAAUUCAAAAACUUAUCAUCUCAUUUGUUAUCCAAAACAUUAAAGAUCAAGAUAUGUAAAACAAUAAUAUUGCCUGUUUUGUAUGGUUAUGAAACAUGGUCUCUUACCUUGAAGGAAAUGCAUAGAUUACAAGUGUUCGAAAACAAGGUGCUCAGGAAUAUAUUUGGACCUAGGAACGAUGAAAUAAAUGGGGAAUUUAGAGUAUUACAUAAUGAGGAGCUGCAUGAAUUGUACAGGUCACAUAGCAUAAUGAGAAUAGUGAAAUCUAGGAGGCUCUGAUGGGCUAGACAUGUAGCACGCAUGGAGGGGAGGCAAGGAGUGCAUACAGAAUUUUUGUUGGAAAUCGUUCUGAAAAAAUGACCACUGGGCAGACCAAGAAGGAGAUAGGAGGAUAAUAUCAAGAUGGAUCUUAGGGAGGUGGACUGUGAGGAUGGCAAAUGGAUGAAGUUGGUUCAGGAUCAUGGCUGGUGGUCUGCCUUUGGUGUUGUCAGUGUUGGACCUGCAGGUUCUGCUACCAGGGAGUUUGUUAUAAAUCAUGCACCCAAAUAUUUUUCAGCAAAGUUUUGAAAAAGAAAGUGUGUGAUAUGUAAUCUAAUAUGGUACAUUUAAAUUUUGUUAAAUGAUUUGUUUUACUUGAACUUUGUAGAACACUAAGAUUUGGCCAUGUAUCUUUCUGUUAAAUAGAAUUAUUGGUUUGGCAUUUGUGAAAAUAUAUGUAAGCAUUGAUGAAAGAUUCUCAUGCUACAAACCGCAUCAGGUGGCUGAACGGUGAACAAACUGUGUCUUCUGCUGGCAUCAUCACUACCUGCCGUCCACCGCCAGCCAGUUCCCAUCAGCUAGCGCGCAACAAAGUAACAUGCUGGUUACCCAGCAGCCCUGAGGAUGAGAACAAAGUUUGUUCUUGAAACAUUGGCAGAAGAUAUCGUUUGUUCACCGUUCAGCCACCUGACACGGCUUGUAGCCCGAGAAUCUUUCAUCACCUUCAGUCGCUGCAAAAGCAUCACCUCAUACAUAUGUAAGCAUUGUUCAUAUAGCUCUAUAGUGUCACCAGUAAUUAAGCUUUCUGCACUUUUAAAGUGUUAUUUGCUUCUUGUUGUUAAUAACAAAUUUUUAAGGCUACUCAUAAGAAUUAGGACAAUAUUUCAAGAAGUUACAGCUAUGGUCCUUCCAUUCUUAUCCCUUUAAAGCAGUGGUAAAGUUCAUGUACCACUUUCUUUAAUAUUUAGUAACUGCAUUUUACCCACAGAAUGUAUUUACAUGUUUCUUACGAUUCUCAAAAUAAACAUCAAUUAUUUCUUUAAACAUCAUUAACUGAAUGAGAUUUGUAAUGUAGAUGAACUUCAUGCUUCAGAAGUUUAAUUGUUGAAAUAAAGUUACCUGUUACAUGCUAUACAACCAGGAUUCAGGUGCGAUUUCAGGUUCUCAUGGUAAUGAGUAUGAUGAUACCUAGGAUGUUAUGCCAUGUAGUCUGGUAGGAGUUUACUGAUGUUUCAGAAGUGAUUACUGCCUCUGCCAUCAGAGCAGUAUCACCCUGAGGCAGUAAACAUCUAUCUGACGACUUGGUUCAACAUCCCAGAGGACAGCGAUCUUCAACCAGGAUUCAAUUUGCUGGAGGGACAAAGUGUUCUCUUUGCCAGUACAUCCAGAUCAGCUCUGGGGCCCACUCAUCUUCCUGUCGAAUGGAUGUCAGGGGCCCUUUAUCUUUUGGUAAAGUUAUUAGAUCACGAAGCCUGUCACUUCUCCUCGUGUAGUGGCAAAGUAACAGGCUUGUCUGUAGAUGCUAGCAUUUCAGAGGGCUACGUGGAGGUGUCGCGCCGGUUCGUACCCAUAUCCGCAGCAGGUCUCCAAGGUGAGGAGCCUCUAGUCGAUAGAC